UUCAGUCUCACAUACGUUAUAAAAGCAGGUUUUCCUAUAUAAAGUCUACAGAACGCUCUAGACUUAUUAUUAGCAAAUAUUGCUGAAUUAUUUAUUAUUUAAUUUUGUUCUUCCUGAGAUCUUUGCAAAGACCAUUUUAGGAUGGGGGGUGAAAACAGCCAUAUUGCCAAUGCCUGCUACUCUGAGCUCUGGAUUUUUUUUGAGUCAAGGAAAUUGCACCUUAAUGAAAUAAUACUAGAUGCCUCUAUACAAGGAGGGGUUAAUGUGGGCGAGCAAGUGGAAGCCUAUUUAAAUAUGGGGGCCAAUAUUGCUGUGAGUCUUAGACCAGACAAUAGGAUCCAGUUCCUAAGAGUUCCCCCCAGGCAGGUAAUUAAUAUACCCAUGCAGGGGAAUAUUUACGUGACCGCCAUCGCCAAACGUGAUGGCAAAAAUGAGCUGAUGUGCUUCAACUUCAUGAUUCCAAGUGAUCGAUCCAUCAUCGUUAUUGACAAUGGGAUGGUUAAGAUGGCAAUGUAUGGGGCGCUGUGGAAAGAUGAGGAGGGAAAAUAUCACUGAACAUAAAAAAGCCUGAUGAUCAAUUCCAUCUAAAAGAAAGAAAAUUGCUUUUGCAGAGUCUGAUAACCAAAUCCUGAGUUACACAUAAUUAUACCAUUAUUUACUCCAAAAUCUAAUGAGCUUGCUGAUAUUUUACAUGAGAAUUCUCUUUUAAAGAAAUGAAUCAAGUGAGAUAAGAAAUAAAGUCUGAUGUUAAAAGAA